GCUUGCCUGAGGCAAGAUGGCCGCCGGUGAUGACGUUUGAGACUCCGCCGUAAGACAUCUAGCCUUUAUUAUGGAUAUCUAUGAUCCAGACUGAUCUGCGAGUGAAACCUUGAAAGCUCGCG